rfam:Glycine max cultivar Williams 82 chromosome 2, whole genome shotgun sequence.
UUUUUGUUAGAUGAUAACUGUCACGUGUCAUGUUCUCAUUGGAUGUCAACUCCAUGGAAAAUGCAUUGUUGUUUUCAUUGACCAAUCAGAACGUGACAAGUGAUCGUCAAUAUUA